rnacentral:rRNA from 1 species
UACGGGGGGGGCAAGCGUUGUUCGGAAUUACUGGGCGUAAAGGGCGCGUAGGCGGUUUGCUAAGUUGGAUGUGAAAACUCUGGGCUUAACCCAGAGCCUGCAUCCAAAACUAGCAGGCUAGAGUUCUGGAGGGGAUAGCGGAAUUCCUGGUGUAGCGGUGAAAUGCGCAGAUAUCAGGAGGAACACCGGUGGCGAAGGCGGAUCUCUGGGCCGAUACUGACGCUGAGGAGCGAAAGCGUGGGGAGCGAACAGG